AUUGAACGCUGGCGGCAGGCCUAACACAUGCAAGUCGAACGAGUGGCGGACGGGUGAGUAAUGUCUGGGAAACUGCCCGCUGGAGGGGGAUAACUACUGGAAACGGUAGCUAAUACCGCAUACCAUCGGAUGUUCCCAGAUGGGAUUAGCUAGUAGGUGGGGUAACGGCUCACCUAGGCGACGCUCCCUAGCUGGACUGAGAGGAUGACGACCCACCCUGGAAGUGAGACCCGUUCCAGCCCCCUAGGGGAGGCAGAAGUGGGGAAUAUUGCACAAUGGGCGCAAGCGGGAUGCAGCCAGGCCGGGGGUAUGAAGAAGGCCUUGGGGUUGUAAAGUACUUUCAGCGAGGAGGCGUUACUCGAAGAAGAAGCACCGGCUAACUCCGUGCCAGCCGCCGCGGUAAUAC
rnacentral:rRNA from 1 species